rnacentral:rRNA from 1 species
GUAACGGCGAGUGAAGCGGCAACAGCUCAAAUUUGAAAUCUGGCCCCAGGCCCGAGUUGUAAUUUGCAGAGGAUGCUUUUGGUGAGGUGCCUUCCGAGUUCCCUGGAACGGGACGCCAUAGAGGGUGAGAGCCCCGUCUGGUCGGACACCGAGCCUCUGUAAAGCUCCUUCGACGAGUCGAGUAGUUUGGGAAUGCUGCUCAAAAUGGGAGGUAUAUGUCUUCUAAAGCUAAAUACCGGCCAGAGACCGAUAGCGCACAAGUAGAGUGAUCGAAAGAUGAAAAGCACUUUGGAAAGAGAGUUAAAUAGCACGUGAAAUUGUUGAAAGGGAAGCGUUUAUGACCAGACUUGGGGCGGUAAAUCAUCCAGCGUUCUCGCUGGUGCACUUUCCCGUCCCAGGCCAGCAUCAGUUCGCCGCGGGGGAUAAAGGCGUCGGGAAUGUGGCUCCUCGGAGUGUUAUAGCCCGUCGUGUAAUGCCCUGUGGCGGACUGAGGUUCGCGCUCUGCAAGGAUGCUGGCGUAAUGGUCAUCAACGACCCGUCUUGAAACACGGACCAAGGAGUCGUCUUCGUAUGCGAGUGUUCGGGUGUCAAACCCCUACGCGUAAUGAAAGUGAACGCAGGUGAGAGCUACGGCGCAUCAUCGACCGAUCCUGAUGUUCUCGGAUGGAUUUGAGUAAGAGCAUACGGGGCCGGACCCGAAAGAAGGUGAACUAUGCCUGUAUAGGGUGAAGCCAGAGGAAACUCUGGUGGAGGCUCGCAGCGGUUCUGACGUGCAAAUCGAUCGUCAAAUAUGGGCAUGGGGGGCGAAAGACUAAUCGAACCUUCUAGUAGCUGGUUUCCGCCGAAGUUUCCCUCAGGAUAGCAGUGUUGAACUCAGUUUUAUGAGGUAAAGCGAAUGAUUAGGGACCCGGGGGCGCUAUAUUGCCUUCAUCCAUUCUCAAACUUUAAAUAUGUAAGAAGCCCUUGUUACUUAAUUGAACGUGGGCAUUCGAAUGUAUCAACACUAGUGGGCCAUUUUUGGUAAGCAGAACUGGCGAUGCGGGAUGAACCGAACGCGAGGUUAAGGUGCCGGAGUAGACGCUCAUCAGACACCACAAAAGGUGUUAGUACAUCUUGACAGCAGGACGGUGGCCAUGGAAGUCGGAAUCCGCUAAGGACUGUGUAACAACUCACCUGCCGAAUGUACUAGCCCUGAAAAUGGAUGGCGCUCAAGCGUCUCACCCAUACCUCGCCCUCAGGGUAGAAACUAUGCCCUGAGGAGUAGGCGGACGUGGAGGUCGUGACG